AAAGGUACCAAGAGGGUGCAUUUCGUCAGGAACUUGAUCAGGGAGGUCGCUGGGUUUGCUCCGUAUGAGAAGUGUAUCACUGAGCUUCUCAAGGUUGGAGACAAGCGUGCCCUGAAGGUGGCGAAGCGAAAGUUGGGUACCCACAAGAGGGCGAAGAAGAAGAGAGAGGAGAUGUCCAGUGUCCUCAGGAAGAUGAGGUGUGUAAAAUUUGGGCAGUUCUGGAACUAA
rnacentral:rRNA from 1 species